CAAAAUCUUAAUUGUAUUAAAUAACAUAUCGAAUAGACAUAAAAAUCACCAAUCCAGUAAACAUAACAAAAAAUCCUUAUAUCAUAAUAUUGUAUCAAAUUGGUACUGGUAAACAUUACAACAAUAACCAUAAUAUUUUUUUAAAAAAAAACAUAAUAUGUUCACAAAUUUGUAUGACAACUCUAACUCCUAGCUUGUGAGCUUCCUCUCAUAGCUUGUGUGGUUGUUGCUGCUCGAUUAGUGUAUAAAUAUUAGUAUAUAAAUUUUAUUUUUAUAUAAAAACCUAAAGAAAAAAAAAUUCACAUGCUCCAAGACCAUUAAAAAACAAAUGCAUAAUAUCUCACCUAGGUAGAAUUCUAACCCAACUAAUUAGAUAUAACAAAAUAAAAUUGAUUCAUUUAUUCCAUGGACAUCUAAAAAUUGAUAAAAAAGAAAUAACAAAAGUAAUUAGCAAGAAAUCUCCCAUAAGCUGGACAAAUUAAGAACUAUGUUCAUCAAACAACCAUAAACCAAAAAAAAAAAUUCUCGUAAUCCUUUAUUUAUAUUCUCGCACAUACAUCACAUAUGCAUCAAACAGGCUAGAAAUAUUUUAUACCACUUUAAAUCUAUUAGAAUUUUUUUCUCAAAUCUCAAAAGCAUAAAUUUUGAAUGAUAAUAAAAAGAAAUAAAGUUAAUUUCGUUAAAAAAAUGAAAAUUAUAGAGAGAAAAAUUAGUUUUAAGAGAAUUGAACCCUGGAUUCCACAAGCAAGAGCAGCAACCAAACGCGGCUUCCUCGAUCGCACGAGCAGCAACCAAACGCGGCUUCCUCGAUCGCACGAGCAGCAGCCAAACGCGAGCAGUUCCAGCAGCCAGACGCGGUCUCGAUCGAUGCACGAGCAGAAGUUCCAGCAGCUUCCUCGAUCGCGAGCAGUUCCGGCAACCAGACGCGGUCUCGAUCGACGCACGAGCAGAAGUUCCAGCAGCUUCCUCGAUCGCGAGCAGUUCCAGCAGCUUCCGGCAGCGCGAGCAGUUCCAGCACCUUUCGGCAGCGCGAGCAGUUCCGGCAACUUCCGGCAGCGUGAGCAGUUUCCGGCAAACCGUGUGAGUGUGUGUCUGUUAAAGGAUUUGUCUAAGAUCUGGGAGCAGUGUGUAUGUGUGGCUUGUUCGUGUGUGUUAAGGGUAUGUGUGUGUUUUGUUCGUGUGUGUUAAGUGUGCGUGUGUUCUGUUUGUGCGUCUUAAGUGUGCGUGGGUUUUUGGUCAAUUCAUUUGCUAUUAAUCUGCAAUUACGAUAUUAAUCUUUUAAUGAUUUAACGAAACGAUUUUCAUUAAUAAAUAAGAGUUUAAAUAUUUUUUUUAAAUAUUAAAGAUUUUAUGUUUCUUGUCUAAACGUCGAGGGUAUUGUGUCAUUUUCCCUUAAAAGUUAAAACAAUAACAAUGAUAUGGUAAAGAAGAAUGGUAAGCGCGAGCCGCUGAAUUCGAGCCAUUUGGAAGGAAAAAUUUUCAGGUAAAAAACAAUGGUCGACCGGAGUUGGUAAAUCAAAUCGUGUUGCUUUUUCCCAUUGGUUUUUCAAGAAUUUUCGGC
rnacentral:lncRNA from 1 species